AAAUUGAAGAGUUUGAUCAUGGCUCAGAUUGAACGCUGGCGGCAGGCCUAACACAUGCAAGUCGAACGGUAACAGAAAGCAGCUUGCUGCUUUGCUGACGAGUGGCGGACGGGUGAGUAAUGUCUGGGAAACUGCCCGAUGGAGGGGGAUAACUACUGGAAACGGUAGCUAAUACCGCAUAACGUCGCAAGACCAAAGAGGGGGACCUUC
rnacentral:rRNA from 1 species